CAAGGAUCCACUUGACCCUCCACAAUGACAGACUGCUCAUGAUAGAGUAUGGGGUAUGGGUUGUUGGUUCGAUCCCUGGCUCCUCCAUUCCUCAAGACAGUGACUUAUCUGUGGCCCGAUGUUCCAGCUUUUCUGGUGUGGCGUUCACCUUAAACCUGGCUGGCUGGAGGACCACACCGAACUUGCCUUCCAGACUGGGCAGAGAGUGGCCUGAUGGGACAGAGAGGGUGAAGUGCUGUAGGAUCCAAGAAAGGAAGAGGAAGAGCUCCAUCUUGGCCAAGGCCUCACCCAGACAGACUCUGACCCCUGCACCAAAUGGCAGGUAGCUGGACGACGGAAUGAUCAGACCUGUGCCUUCAUUGUUUAAGAACCGAACUGCAAAGGGAGAAUUCUGGGAUUAGAAUCAACAUUACUCAUACCAACAGCAGUGUUUGAUGUUCUUGGGUGAUCAUAUUUUGGGUAUUUGUAAGAAAUACUUAAUUGUCUAAGAAUCAUGCAACCAUGCCAUCUUGCAGGGCCAUUUAUUAAAAGUCAUCUAGGUAUUCAUA